rnacentral:rRNA from 1 species
CCUACGGGAGGCAGCAGUGGGGAAUAUUGCACAAUGGGCGGAAGCCUGAUGCAGCGACGCCGCGUGAGGGAUGACGGCCUUCGGGUUGUAAACCUCUUUCAGCAGGGACGAAGCGUAAGUGACGGUACCUGCAGAAGAAGCGCCGGCCAACUACGUGCCAGCAGCCGCGGUAAGACGUAGGGCGCGAGCGUUGUCCGGAUUUAUUGGGCGUAAAGAGCUCGUAGGCGGCUUGUCGCGUCGACUGUGAAAACCCGCGGCUCAACUGCGGGCUUGCAGUCGAUACGGGCAGGCUAGAGUUCGGUAGGGGAGACUGGAAUUCCUGGUGUAGCGGUGAAAUGCGCAGAUAUCAGGAGGAACACCGGUGGCGAAGGCGGGUCUCUGGGCCGAUACUGACGCUGAGGAGCGAAAGCGUGGGGAGCGAACAGGAUUAGAUACCCUGGUAGUC